UGUGUGUGUGCGUGCCUGCGCGUGCAUAAUCUUAUAGGUGCGUAUCACUCUAAAUCUCUGUCUUUUCCUGUCUCUUUGCACAGGGUGUGCCAGGUCGUGAUGGUCUAAGGGGAGAGAAGGGCGACCAGGGUGAGCAGGGAGACCAAGGAUUAGCCGGAACCCAUGGAACCCAAGGCCUGCCUGGAGAGCCUGGUCGGGAUGGACUAACUGGACUGAAGGGAGAGAAGGGAGAUGCGUGUGAGAGCUGUGCGCCUGUCUCUGGCGGCAGAUGGGUGUAGGAGGGGUGCAUGGAGCCAAGGGAAGAGGGGCGACCCAGGAACCCCAGGAGAGGGGAAAGCAGGGAAACAUGGCAAGCCAGGUCUACCCGGUGUCCAAGGGCCUAUAGGACCAAAAGGAAGCCAGGGUGACCCAGGAGUUGAAGGGGUGGGCAUCCAGGACCUCAGG